CUUAAACUUGCUUUUAUAGCCAGGAAUCCCCCCAAGGAAAAGAGCUCCUCCACAUCACCCACAAGAAUUCCAGGUUGGGCUCCCAUUGGCCCGUCUGCAAUCAGGUGCUUAUUAUCAUUGAACCAAUCAGGGCCCAGGAGGACUACUCUGAUUGGCCAGUUCAAGGGGGUGUGCCCAGCCCCACCUAAAGCAGAAUUGCAGAGAGUGGGGGAGGGGUGGCUCAACAAAGGAACCUUGUUACCUACAGAAAGAAGCAAGCCAGGAAGGAGCAAGCAGGCAAAAGCAAUAGCGACUCUACAGCAAACGCCCAUUAGCACCGAAAGCCGUCUACCCACUCCGAUGAGGUUGACUCAUGCUCCAUAUGUGCCCCACUUUAUCCACGUGGCUCCCGGCGCUCACAUGUUCCUCCAGGUCUCCUCGGCAGGCCUGCGGGCCGCUGGCGGUGGUAUCCUGAAUUCCCCUUCUCUCAGCACCACCGCCGACACCACCCCCUUCCCUGCUCACAGCACUCAGUCUGCUAUAAUUAAACAAACUGGGUUAUUUGUGACAUCCUGGUUUACACAUCAACAAGUUAUUUUCUCUGAUUUUGCUAUGGAUGGAUUUGCUCUGCUUACAUUAAACAAGAACAGCUCACCCAAAAAUGCAGCGUAAGCAAGGCGGGGGCAACGUGGCCCAGCAGCUGCCUCUUUCCCCACGACGCAAGACCCAGCCUUCUCUUUCCGUCUCCGUGACUUGGAAGAGCCCAGCCGGGCAGCUCUGGAGGAAAUAGCCAUCAAGGAUCAGAAUGCCAAAUGGGAAGAGAGGGCUCCAGAAACACGGAAAGGUCAGAUGGGAGUUUAAUUUGGAGGCUUCCAGACUAAACAGCGGAGGAAUGUAGUGGAAGCAUGUGGGAUGCCCCCCCUCCCCACCCCCCUGCAAAUGUGUCCUGUGAAGGACACCGUUCUCGGUCUCUGGCAAAUCAAUCACCUUGUAGGCUACACUGUGAAGUCCCUGUCAGGGGCCAGGGUUGGGGGAAAGGGGCUCAGGUCUGCUACCUCUUCUCUGGCCACAUCUGUCCUGUCUGUCCGUCUGUCUCCCUGCAUGCCUUGUUCCGUCCACCCCUUGCCACAGCCACGAGGGGCUUCUACAAGGCAAAGCAGGGGAUGCUAUUUAUCUAAUUAGAUGGAGUCUCUUUGAUCUCAACAAAAAUCCUCGCUCCUUAAAAUGGCUCUCUUUUUCCUUCGAGAUCCAGCCCCAGCCUACCAAUACCACCUGGCCUCGCCCCCCUCCCCACCCCAUUCUUGAGGCUUCAGUAACCGGAAGCUUCAAGUUCUACAAAUGUGUCCUUUGCACACGCUGUUCUUUCUCCUUGAACACACUCCCCUUGCUUGAUUCCCUUUAAGCCUUCCCUUUACUGGUUCCUCUCUACCCCUGUCUAAGCUCUAAGUCAUUGUGUUCUACCCGUCUGUCUCCACGUUCAUCUGCCUCCCUUACAGACGGUCAGCUCCUUGAGGGCUGGGUCACGUUGACCUUGGUGUCUAGCACUUGUCCACCUACCUGGCCCAUGGGAGGUACUCCACAGAUGUUUGCUGAGUGAACGAAUGACUCCCUCUGGUGUCCAGCAUCUCCUUCCAGGUAACUGGCCCUUUGCAAGUAUCUGGUUCAAAAGCAGAGGCCACAUUGUCACUCCAGAUUAGAAACAACCUAUGUCCCGCCACAAUAGAAUAUAGAAAUAAAUUAUGGGAUAGUCACACAGUAAAGAUGAUGUGCUAUAUGUGACCGCAUCCAAAAAUGGCGAUGCCUUGCCCAAAUAAAAUGCUGGAAGAUGCCAGACAUGAAGGAGGAUGCACCUUAGUCUUCUAUUUAUAUAAAGUCCCCAAACAGGUAAAACAAAUCUGUGCAGAUAGUAGUCAGAAGAGUGCUUCCCACAGGGCAGCUUCAAGGCCUGGGUGCCUGGUAAUGUACAUGGGCGCAUGCAGUAUGUGAAUGAAAAUACAAAUAUAUAUUUACAUAUCUCAGUGAAUAGAUUUUAUACAUAUUAUACAGUGAUAAGUAUUAAAUAACAUGUUUGUACAUACAUAAUAUAUAAAUAUAUUAGAAAAUACAAAUGUAUAAAAUUAUAUAUAUAAACAUUAUGCAUAUAAAUGUGUGUAUGUGUGUGUAUAUAUGAUCUAGUUGAAUAAAAGGUAAACAAACUAGGGGCCAGUCUGAUGCUGGGGAGAAACCAGGCUCUCUGUCCCUCUGUCCUUCCUGUAUGACUGCCCUGGGUCUGUCGCUUUGCAGGCUGUAUACUGGUGGCCAGAGGCUUUGGUCCCUGCUGUCUUGGCCCCAGGCUCAUAUCCCUCCUGCCCGAUCUCUCAGACAGGAAUCUGUCUCUGUCCUGUCUCCAAAGGCCCAGACUCUGGGGAAUGGAGACUCGUGGUUGCUGUAAAGAGCUGGCUUUCUGAAGACCCGGCCCCUCCCGGGAUCGCCCCCUGCCAGAAGAGUUUGGAUCUGGGGUGGGGGGGCUCUGGAAGUGAGCCUGGAAGGCGUAUUAGAGACAGGAGUUGCUCUGCAGAGAGGCAGGUGAAGGCUUU
ensembl:lincRNA